UGGGGUGUGGCUCAGUGGUAGAGCGCUCACCUAGCAUGUGCAAGGCCCUGGGUUCCAUCCUCAGAACCACAU
rfam:Ictidomys tridecemlineatus contig002014, whole genome shotgun sequence.